UACGGGGGGAGCAAGCGUUGUCCGGAAUCACUGGGCGUAAAGGGCGUGUAGGCGGGCGUGCAAGUCAGAUGUAAAAGGCCACGGCUUAACCGUGGUAUGUCAUCUGAAACUGCAUGUCUUGAGUUCGAGAGGGGGUGGUGGAAUUCCUGGUGUAGCGGUGAAAUGCGUAGAUAUCAGGAAGAACACCGGAAGCGAAGGCGGCCACCUGGCUCGAAACUGACGCUGAGGCGCGAAAGCGUGGGGAGCAAACAGG
rnacentral:rRNA from 1 species